GGAUGCUCAGUUAAAUCUGAAUUUUAGAUAAACAUUUUCUUUUCCAUUAUAUGUAUGUCUCAUGCAAUAUUUGGGACAUACUUAUAUUAAAAGAUGGUUGUUUAUCUGAAUUCAAAUGUAAUUUG
rnacentral:miRNA from 1 species